rnacentral:rRNA from 1 species
ACAGAGGUCCCAAGCGUUGUUCGGAUUCACUGGGCGUAAAGGGUGCGUAGGUGGCGGUGCAAGUUUGAUGUGAAAUCUCCGGGCUUAACCCGGAAACGGCAUUGAAUACUGCAUUGCUAGAGGGUCGGAGGGGAGGCUGGAAUUCUCGGUGUAGCAGUGAAAUGCGUAGAGAUCAAAAGGAACACCGAUUGCGAAGGCGAUCCUCUGGAAGACUCUUGACGCUGAGAUGCGAAAGCGAGGGGAUCAAACAG